rnacentral:rRNA from 1 species
AUUGAACGCUGGCGGCAGGCCUAACACAUGCAAGUCGAGCGGAUGAAGGGAGCUUGCUCCUGGAUUCAGCGGCGGACGGGUGAGUAAUGCCUAGGAAUCUGCCUGGUAGUGGGGGAUAACGUCCGGAAACGGGCGCUAAUACCGCAUACGUCCUGAGGGUGAAAGUGGGGGUUCUUCUGACCUCACGCUAUCAGCUGAGCUUAGGUCUGAUUAGCUAGUUGGUGGGGUAAUGGCCUACCAAGGCGACGAUCCGUAACUGGUCUGAGAGGAUGAUCAGUCACACUGGAAGUGAGACACGGUCCAGACUCAUACGGGAGGCAGGAGUGGGGAAUAUUGGACAAGGGGCGAAAGCCUGAUACAGCCAUGCCGCGUGUGUGAAGAAGGUCUUGGGAUUAUAAAGCACUUUAAGGUGGGAGGAAGGGCAGUAAGUUGAUACCUUGCUGUGUGAACGUUACCAACAGAUAAGCAACGGCUAACUUCGUG